AACGAACGCUGGCGGCAGGCUUAACACAUGCAAGUCGAACGCCCCGCAAGGGGAGUGGCAGACGGGUGAGUAACACGUGGGAACGUGCCCUUCGCUUCGGGAUAGCCUCGGGAAACUGGGAGUAAUACCGAAUACGCCGUAUUGGAAAAGAUUUAUCGGCGAAGGAUCGGCCCGCGUUGGAUUAGCUGUUGGCGGUGUAAUGGACCACCAAGGCUACGAUCCAUAGCUGGUCUGAGAGGACGACCAGCCACACUGGGACUGAGACACGGCCCAGACUCCUACGGAGGCAGCAGUGGGGAAUAUUGGACAAUGGGCGAAAGCCUGAUCCAGCAAUGCCGCGUGAGUGAUGAAGGCCUUAGGGUUGUAAAGCUCUUUUACCCGGGAUGAUAAUGACAGUACCGGGAGAAUAAGCCC
rnacentral:rRNA from 1 species